rnacentral:rRNA from 1 species
GUCAGCAGCCGCGGUAACACCGGCGGCCCGAGUGGUGAUCGUGAUAUUGGGUCUAAAGGGUCCGUAGCCGGUUUGGUCAGUCCUCCGGGAAAUCUGGAUAGCUCAACGUAUUAGGCUUUCGGGGGAUACUGCCAGACUUGGAACCGGGAGAGGUAAGAGGUACUACAGGGGUAGGAGUGAAAUCUUGUAAUCCCUGUGGGACCACCUGUGGCGAAGGCGUCUUACCAGAACGGGUUCGACGGUGAGGGACGAAAGCUGGGGGCACGAACCGGAUUAGAUACCCGGGUAGUCCCAGCCGUAAACGAUGCUCGCUAGGUGUCAGGCAUGGCGCGACCGUGUCUGGUGCCGCAGGGAAGCCGUGAAGCGAGCCACCUGGGAAGUACGGCCGCAAGGCUGAAACUUAAAGGAAUUGGCGGGGGAGCACAACAACGGGUGGAGCCUGCGGUUUAAUUGGACUCAACGCCGGACAACUCACCGGGGGCGACAGCAAUAUGUAGGCCAAGCUGAAGACUUUGCCUGAAUCGCUGAGAAGAGGUGCAUGG